AGAAAAGUUAAGAACAAGGGCAGAAGAUUACCUGUGCGGCGUCGAACAUAAAACGAAGCUGCCAAUUUGCUUCAAAUUGAAAACGUGAUGCUUCGAAGAAAGGAAAAGCAUUGGUGAAUUAGCUUGCUUGACUUCGGUUCUUCGAUUGAGCGAGUGUUCCAUCGACUUCGACUCGACCUCAGCUCUAGCCAGUUUCCAGCACAUCAGGUUCCAAGAACGAAAAUGAUACUAUUGAAUAUUAGCUGUUGAAGCAUUGUUGGUGGUGGCGGCGGGGUGGUGGUGGAGCGAGAUGGUUUGAAUGUCGACAACGGCGCGAUGACAGAUGAGGCAUGGUUUGUAAGUAGAAAUGAAGGUGGUAAUUGAAUAAUUGGAUGUGUGAGACGUUUGCUUUCCUUCUUAUAAUUCAGUGGAGGGAGAUAUGAGUGUCUAUUUAUAGUUAUAGCUUGUAUAGCUAUAUUAUGUUUAUCUCUUUCAAAUUAUAUUAAUAGGAUUGAAAAAGAUAUUUUAUUAUUGGUCAAGAUAUUUUAAUAUUGGUCAACUUUGCAAUAA